rnacentral:tRNA from 1 species
GCUUGUGUGGCGGAACUGGUAGACGCGCACGACUCAAAAUCGUGUAACUUAUGUUGUGAGGGUUCGAUUCCCUCCACAAGCA